UAUUGGGCAAUGGACGCAAGUCUGACCCAGCCAUGCCGCGUGCAGGAUGAAGGCGUUAUGCGUUGUAAACUGCUUUUAUACAGGAAGAAACGACUCUUGCGAGAGGCAUUGACGGUACUGUAUGAGUAAGCACCGGCUAACUCCGUGCCAGCAGCCGCGGUAAUACGGAGGGUGCAAGCGUUGUCCGGAUUUAUUGGGUUUAAAGGGUGCGCAGGUGGUUUAUUAAGUCAGUGGUAAAGACGGUCGCUCAACGAUUGCAGUGCCAUUAAACUGGAGACUUAGAAAGAGAGGUGGGCGGAAUUGAAGUGAGCGGUAAAUGCAAGUUAUCAAGACUCCAAUUGCGUGGAGCUACUUGCUUUACUGACUAUACAGAUACGUAC
rnacentral:rRNA from 1 species